UACGUAGGGCGCAAGCGUUAUCCGGAAUUAUUGGGCGUAAAGAGCUCGUAGGCGGUUUGUCGCGUCUGCCGUGAAAGUCCGGGGCUCAACUCCGGAUCUGCGGUGGGUACGGGCAGACUAGAGUGAUGUAGGGGAGACUGGAAUUCCUGGUGUAGCGGUGAAAUGCGUAGAUAUCUGGAGGAAUACCGGGUGGCGAAGGCGGCAUCCUGGACCGGCAUUGACGCUGAGUGAGCGAAAGCCAGGGGAGCAAACGGG
rnacentral:rRNA from 1 species